rnacentral:rRNA from 1 species
AACGAUAGCUAAUACCGCAUAAGAGUAGAUGUCGCAUGACAUUUGCUUAAAAGGUGCAAUUGCAUCACUACCAGAUGGACCUGCGUUGUAUUAGCUAGUUGGUGGGGUAACGGCUCACCAAGGCGACGAUACAUAGCCGACCUGAGAGGGUGAUCGGCCACACUGGGACUGAGACACGGCCCAG